rnacentral:rRNA from 1 species
UACGUAGGGGGCUAGCGUUGUCCGGAAUCAUUGAGCGUAAAGAGCGCGUAGGCGGCCCUGUAAGUCCGCUGUGAAAGUCAAGGGCUCAACCCUUGAAUGCCGGUGGAUACUGCAGGGCUAGAGUCCGGAAGAGGCGAGUGGAAUUCCUGGUGUAGCGGUGAAAUGCGCAGGAUAUCAGGAGGAACACCGAUGGCGAAGGCAGCUCCGCUGGGACGG